CCAUCCUCCCUGCUGGACUGCGAGCUCCACAAGCCCCGGUCUCCUUCAGCACACGGAGGUCCAGCACAGAGCCUGGGAACAGCAAUCAGAGAGCCCAGUCCCCAGGGAAGAACAGCAGACUUGCAGUUUAUAUGACGACACAGGACCCCACAUAGUGGGAAAUAGCCUAAGACCAACACGACGCUUUGUGAGAAGCCGCAGAUGACAUUCAGUAACCCAUCAGAAUGUGAGGAAUCUCUCUGGUACCCCACACCACCGAGAGCGCUAUGCUGCCCCACGGGGAAGGGACGUGGGCGUGUGCACAUGCUGGAUUUUAUUUGGGGGAUGUUGGUUUGUGUAUCUCGUUGUUGAGCCUAAAAUAAAUGGCCAGGAAUGGAGCAGGGGAGAUUUAAACUCAGUCAAAAGGAACAUUGCAGGCAGGAUGCAUCACUGCCAGGCUGGUCGAAGGGUGAGAUUUUCUAAAGACAAGGGAGGGAGCAGAUGACCUUUCCAGAGCCCUCCAGUCGGCAGAUUUUAUGAUUCCGUGCACGUCCUCUGUCUAGACAUGAAGUGUGGAUGCUCUUGCUUUUAUUGCCGUAGCAUGGGGAAAAGCAUAAUCGCUCCACCUACAGUCUGAUCUGGGAAAUUACUCAGCCUCAGCCAGGACAAACAAAAGCAAACAAACAAAAUUGGGGAGAAGAAAACCCACUGGAAAGAAGGUAAUUUCAGUCUCUGAUAGAGAAUAUUCCCUCCAAAUUACAUGUACUUUUACUUCAGCCUUUCAAAAUAAUUGUCAUUUUAAUACCUGGGUUUUGCACAGU